rnacentral:rRNA from 1 species
AUCUAUGGCCAUAGAAUCGAGAGAAUACCGCACCCCGUCUACUCUGCGAAGUCUGAAACUCGAUAUCGCCUGGUCAGUACCGACGCGGAUGACCAGUCGGGAAUCCCAGGUGCUGUAGUUG